rnacentral:rRNA from 1 species
ACAGGAGGGAGCUUGCUUCCUUGCUGACGAGUGGCGGACGGGUGAGUAAUGCUUGGGAAUCUGUCUUAGGGAGGGGGAUAACCACGGGAAACUGUGGCUAAUACCGCGUAUAAUCGUAAGAUGAGAGGUGUGGGAUUGAAAAACCAUAUGCCCUAAGGUGAGCCCAAGUGAGAUUAGGUAGUUGGUGGGGUAAAGGCCUACCAAGCCGACGAUCUCUAGCUGGUCUGAGAGGAUGACCAGCCACACUGGGACUGAGACACGGCCCAGACUCCUACGGGAGGCAGCAGUGGGGAAUAUUGCGCAAUGGGGGGAACCCUGACGCAGCCAUGCCGCGUGAAUGAAGAAGGCCUUCGGGUUGUAAAGUUCUUUCAGUGGUGAGGAAGGUAAUAAUGUUAAUAGUAUUAUUAAUUGACGUUAGCCACAGAAGAAGCACCGGCUAAUUCCGUGCCAGCAGCCGCGGUAAUACGGAAGGUGCGAGCGUUAAUCGGAAUAACUGGGCGUAAAGGGCACGCAGGCGGUAACUUAAGUGAGGUGUGAAAGCCCAGGGCUUAACCUUGGAAGUGCAUUUCAUACUGAGUUGCUAGAGUACUCUAGGGAGGGGUAGAAUUCCACGUGUAGCGGUGAAAUGCGUAGAGAUGUGGAGGAAUACCGAAGGCGAAGGCAGCCCCUUGGGGAGUAACUGACGCUCAUGUGCGAAAGCGUGGGGAGCAA